CAAUAGCGUAUAUUAAAGUUGUUGCAGUUAAAAAGCUCGUAGUUGGAUUUGUGGCGUACGGUGUGUUCCGGGCACUUGUUGUCUGAGUAACCUGCUGUUGCCAUCCUUGGGUGGAACCUGUGUGGCAUUAGGUUGUCGUGCAGGGGAUGCCCAUCAUUUACUGUGAAAAAAUUAGAGUGUUCAAAGCAGGCUUAUGCCGAUGAAUAUAUUAGCAUGGAAUAAUGAGAUAGGACUUUUUUGCUAUUUUGUUGGUUUGCGCAAAGAGGUAAUGAUUAAUAGGGACAGUUGGGGGUAUUCGUAUUCCAUUGUCAGAGGUGAAAUUCUUGGAUUUUUGGAAGACGAACUACUGCGAAAGCAUUUACCAAGGAUGUUUUCAUUAA
rnacentral:rRNA from 1 species